rnacentral:rRNA from 1 species
UAAGGAAUAUUGGUCAAUGGACGAAAGUCUGAACCAGCCAUGCCGCGUGAAGGAUUAAGGUCCUCUGGAUUGUAAACUUCUUUUAUCUGGGACGAAAAAAGGCGAUUCUUCGUCACUUGACGGUACCAGAUGAAUAAGCACCGGCUAACUCCGUGCCAGCAGCCGCGGUAAUACGGAGGGUGCAAGCGUUAUCCGGAUUCACUGGGUUUAAAGGGUGCGUAGGCGGGCAGGUAAGUCAGUGGUGAAAUCCUUGAGCUUAACUCGAGAACUGCCAUUGAUACUAUCUGUCUUGAAUAUUGUGGAGGUAAGCGGAAUAUGUCAUGUAGCGGUGAAAUGCUUAGAUAUGACAUAGAACACCUAUUGCGAAGGCAGCUUACUACGCAUAUAUUGACGCUGAGGCACGAAAGCGUGGGGAUCAAACA